rnacentral:rRNA from 1 species
UACGAAGGGGACUAGCGUUGUUCGGAAUCACUGGGCGUAAAGCGCACGUAGGCGGAUAUGUCAGUCAGGGGUGAAAUCCCGGGGCUCAACCUCGGAACUGCCUUUGAUACAGCAUGUCUUGAGUCCGAUAGAGGUGAGUGGAACUGCGAGUGUAGAGGUGAAAUUCGUAGAUAUUCGCAAGAACACCAGUGGCGAAGGCGGCUCACUGGCCCGGUACUGACGCUGAGGUGCGAAAGCGUGGGGAGCAAACAGG